ACGCCCCUGGGCGCCGUUGCUUACAAAUGCGAGUCGUACGAUGAACCUCCUUCGGGAGGGGAUUAGUGGCGAACGGGUGAGUAACACGUGGGCAAUCUGCCCUUCACUCUGGGACAAGCCCUGGAAACGGGGUCUAAUACCGGAUACGACACGGGGUCGCAUGACCUCCGUGUGGAAAGCUCCGGCGGUGAAGGAUGAGCCCGCGGCCUAUCAGCUUGUUGGUGGGGUGAUGGCCUACCAAGGCGACGACGGGUAGCCGGCCUGAGAGGGCGACCGGCCACACUGGGACUGAGACACGGCCCAGACUCCUACGGGAGGCAGCAGUGGGGAAUAUUGCACAAUGGGCGAAAGCCUGAUGCAGCGACGCCGCGUGAGGGAUGACGGCCUUCGGGUUGUAAACCUCUUUCAGCAGGGAAGAAGCGAGAGUGACGGUACCUGCAGAAGAAGCGCCGGCUAACUACGUGCCAGCAGCCGCGGUAAUACGUAGGGCGCAAGCGUUGUCCGGAAUUAUUGGGCGUAAAGAGCUCGUAGGCGGCUUGUCACGUCGGAUGUGAAAGCCCGGGGCUUAACCCCGGGUCUGCAUUCGAUACGGGCAGGCUAGAGUUCGGUAGGGGAGAUCGGAAUUCCUGGUGUAGCGGUGAAAUGCGCAGAUAUCAGGAGGAACACCGGUGGCGAAGGCGGAUCUCUGGGCCGAUACUGACGCUGAGGAGCGAAAGCGUGGGGAGCGAACAGGAUUAGAUACCCUGGUAGUCCACGCCGUAAACGUUGGGAACUAGGUGUGGGCGACAUUCCACGUCGUCCGUGCCGCAGCUAACGCAUUAAGUUCCCCGCCUGGGGAGUACGGCCGCAAGGCUAAUACUCUAGGAAUUGACGGGGGCCCGCACAAGCAGCGGAGCAUGUGGCUUAAUUCGACGCAACGCGAAGAACCUUACCAAGGCUUGACAUA
rnacentral:rRNA from 1 species